rnacentral:rRNA from 1 species
GACGAACGCUGGCGGCGUGCUUAACACAUGCAAGUCGAACGAUGAAGCGGGUGCUUGCACUCGUGGAUUAGUGGCGAACGGGCGAGUAACACGUGAGUAACCUGUCCUUUUCUUUGGGAUAACGGCUGGAAACGGCUGCUAAUACUGGAUAUUCAGGCUGCAUCGCAUGGUGUGGUUUGGAAAGGUUUUUUCUGGGAUUGGGUGGGCUCGCGGCCUAUCAGCUUGUUGGUGGGGUGAUGGCUUACCAAGGCUUUGACGGGUAGCCGGCCUGAGAGGGUGGUCGGUCGCACUGGGACUGAGAUACGGCCCAGACUCCUACGGGAGGCAGCAGUGGGGAAUAUUGCACAAUGGACGAAAGUUUGAUGCAGCGACGCCGCGUGGAGGGUGUAGGCCUUCGGGUUGUGAACUCCUUUUUCUCGCGAAAAGGGCACAGUUGUGGCUGUGUUGAUGGUAGUGGGGGAAGAAGCGCCGGCUAACUACGUG